UUUCAGGGUUCAAGAAGUAUGGCAGCAGAAACAGCAGCAACAACACCAAUAACACAAGGCACUCAGGAUUCAACAAAUAGGGCAACAGAAACAGUAGCAUCACCACCAACAGCACAAGGCACUCAGGGUUCAACUUUAAUAUUUAUGGAACCAGCAAGAGCAACAUAAGGCAUUUAGACUCCAUGUUGCACCACUCUACCUCCUACAACAGGAAUUAUGACAUAGUCUAUGGUAAACAUGACUUUUUACACAGUGCUAACAUAAUUUUUUGCACAGGCUAAAUUUCACACACAACACAGUUUUUUAGGUUAUGCAAGUAGAUAUGGGGGAUACUUUUGGGUUAUGCAAGUAAUGAUAUGUAAUGGGGAAUACCUUUUUGGUUAUUUUGAAAGUUUUGUAAUGAAUUUGAAGAGAUAUUUAAACUUAGCUAUGUGGCUGUUGGUAAUGGAUUUGAAGGGAUGUAUUUUUUGGCUUUUAAAGUUUGUGAUAUUUGAUGGAUUAUAUUUU